AUUGAACGCUGGCGGAAUGCUUUACACAUGCAAGUCAAGCGGCAGCGCGGGGCAACCUGGCGGCGAGCGGCGAACGGGUGAGUAAUGUAUCGGAACGUGUCCUGUCGUGGGGGAUAGCCCGGUGAAAGCCGGAUUAAUACCGCAUACGAUCGAGAGAUGAAAGUGGGGGACCGCAGGGCCCCACGCGAUAGGACCGGCCGAUAUCUGAUUAACUAGUUGGUGGGGGAAAGGGCCACCAAGGCUUCGAUCAGUAGCUGGUCUGAGAGGAUGAUCAGCCACACUGGGACUGAGACGCGGCCCAGGCUCCUGCGGGAGGCAGCAGUGGGGAAUUUUGGACAAUGGGGGCAACCCUGAUCCAGCCAUUCCGCGUGAGUGAAGAAGGCCUUCGGGUUGUAAAGCUCGUUUGUCCGGGAAGAAACGGUUUUGGCUAAUAACCAAGACUACUGACGGUACCGGAAGAAUAAGGACCGGCUAACUACGUGCCAGCAGCCGCCGCAG
rnacentral:rRNA from 1 species